AGGCCUAUAUAUUAAAAUGUUUGUCUAAAAGCUGCUAAUUCAAUGUCCGUACGUUUGCUAAUGAGCAACAAAUGUGGGCCGUUCGAAAGGAGGCUCAAACGGGGGGCUAGAUGAGGGGAUGGAUAAAAAAAAAGGCAUAAGGACGACGCCUUUUCCAUCUGUUGUUUAAGAAGAAAGAAGAAAGCUUUUAUCUGGCUUUGGCCACAUACUGAACUCUGUCACCGCUUCUGCGGCUUACGGAGGACAAGAGGCGGUAAAGCAGCCUCGGAUGUCAGUGAAAGGUGCUCCAGCCCGGCUCCCAUCUUCACCUGGUGAGAUCCGAUCCAAUAAUAGCCGUUGUGUGUGUUAGGCUUUAAUGAGGGCUCAUCGACCCCCACCUGCCCAGCAGUCCAGAUGAAUGCCAAAACGCACUCAGCAGCAUCAUUUCUCCGCUCUCUUUUAUGUUAUGAGGUAUUAUGU
rnacentral:lncRNA from 1 species